rnacentral:rRNA from 1 species
GACGAACGCUGGCGGCGUGCUUAACACAUGCAAGUCGAACGGAAAGGCCCUGCUUGCAGGGUACUCGAGUGGCGAACGGGUGAGUAACACGUGGGUGAUCUGCCCUGCACUUCGGGAUAAGCCUGGGAAACUGGGUCUAAUACCGGAUAGGAGCCAUUUUUAGUGUGAUGGUUGGAAAGUUUUUUCGGUGUAGGAUGAGCUCGCGGCCUAUCAGCUUGUUGGUGGGGUAAUGGCCUACCAAGGCGGCGACGGGUAGCCGGCCUGAGAGGGUGGACGGCCACAUUGGGACUGAGAUACGGCCCAGACUCCUACGGGAGGCAGAAGUGGGGAAGAUUGAACAAUGGGCGCAAGCCUGAUGCAGCGACGCCGCGUGGGGGAUGACGGCCUUCGGGUUGUAAACUCCUUUCGCUAGGGACGAAGCUUUUUGUGACGGUACCUAGAUAAGAAGCACCGGCUAACUACGUG